GGACUACCCGGGUUUCUAAUCCUGUUUGCUCCCCACGCUUUCGUGUCUCAGCGUCAGUAGUCGUCCAGUGGGCCGCCUUCGCCGCCGGUGUUCCUCUCGAUAUCUACGAAUUUCACCUCUACACCGAGAAUUCCACCCACCUCUCCGACACUCGAGCCCUGCAGUAUCGAGUGCACUUCCCGGGUUGAGCCCGGGGCUUUCACAUCCGACUUGCAAAGCCGCCUACACACGCUUUACGCCCAGUAAUUCCGAACAACGUUUGCACCCUCUGUCUUACCGCGGCUGCUGGCAC
rnacentral:rRNA from 1 species